ensembl:lncRNA
GGCCCUGUAUUUAAGGGGUGCCCAAGGCCGGCCCUGACAGCCUGUGUGCUGCGUGAGGACGACGCCGGGGCUGCAGUGCUGUCGGUGUGGUCAGUUCUGCAGCUCGGGGCCGUGAGAAGAUGUCAUCCCCACACCCAGCCUGGUGGUGCCGGGGCCCAGGAGCCUCCCACAGCAGCCGGGGCACUACAGCAACAGCUGAGCCGCGUGGCCGCCCCGCAGCCCUGACGCGCACCUCUUCCUGCAGGGCCUCAUGGAGGGCCGCCGCCGCCACAUCCCGGGCCUGGGCACCCACCCGCACCGCACAGUCCUCCAGGGCAUCACCACCCACCCGGCCAUCACCCGCCCGGCCAUCACCCACCCGGCCAUCACCCACCCGGGCACCACCCGCCGGGCCCCCACCCCCACGGCCACCCCCACUAGGCGCUGAGCCCUGGCGGCGGCCGCCCCUGGCACGGGUCCGUCUCUGUCCAUCGGCUACCCCGCGGCGGCGCUGCCGCCGGGGUCUCCCUCCGCCCACGUGUGGCAGCACCUCUGCCGGAAACAGAAGCUUGGGCUUGGGUUGAGGUCAGCAAUAAAAGUCCGCUCGGG